rnacentral:rRNA from 1 species
UACGUAGGGGGCAAGCGUUGUCCGGAUUUAUUGGGCGUAAAGAGCGUGUAGGCGGCCAUGUAGGUCCGUUGUGAAAACUCGAGGCUCAACCUCGAGACGCCGAUGGAAACCAUGUGGCUAGAGUCCGGAAGAGGAGAGUGGAAUUCCUGGUGUAGCGGUGAAAUGCGCAGAUAUCGGAAGGAACAUCAGUGGCGAAAGCGACUUCCUGGACCAAUACUGACGCUCAUGUGCGAAAGCGUGGGGAGCAAACAGG